GAGUAACGCGUAAUCAACCUGCCCUUCAGAGGGGGAUAACAACGGGAAACCGUUGCUAAUACCGCGUACGAUUCAUAAACGGCAUCGUUUAUGAAUGAAAGGUGGCCUCUAUGUAUAAGCUAUCGCUGAAGGAGGGGAUUGCGUCUGAUUAGCUAGUUGGAGGGGUAACGGCCCACCAAGGCAAUGAUCAGUAGCCGGUCUGAGAGGAUGAACGGCCACAUUGGGACUGAGACACGGCCCAA
rnacentral:rRNA from 1 species